rnacentral:rRNA from 1 species
CUACGGGGUGCAGCAGUCGGGAAUAUUGCGCAAUGGAGGAAACUCUGACGCAGUGACGCCGCGUAUAGGAAGAAGGUUUUCGGAUUGUAAACUAUUGUCGUUAGGGAAGAUAAAAGACAGUACCUAAGGAGGAAGCUCCGGCUAACUACGUGCCAGCAGCCGCGGUAAUACGUAGGGAGCAAGCGUUAUCCGGAUUUAUUGGGUGUAAAGGGUGCGUAGACGGGAAGACAAGUUAGUUGUGAAAUCCCUCGGCUUAACUGAGGAACUGCAACUAAAACUAUUUUUCUUGAGUGUUGGAGAGGAAAGUGGAAUUCCUAGUGUAGCGGUGAAAUGCGUAGAUAUUAGGAGGAACACCGGUGGCGAAGGCGACUUUCUGGACAAUAACUGACGUUGAGGCACGAACGUGUGGGGAGCAAACAGGAUUAGAUACCCGGGUAGUC